UACGUAGGGGGCAAGCGUUGUCCGGAUUUACUGGGCGUAAAGAGCGUGUAGGCGGCCAAACAGGUCCGUUGUGAAAACUGGAGGCUUAACCUCCAGACGUCGACGGAAACCGUAUGGCUAGAGUCCGGAAGAGGAGAGUGGAAUUGACGGUGUAGCGGUGAAAUGCUUAGAUAUCGUCAAGAACACCUAUAGCGAAGGCAGCUUACUAGGCUGUAACUGACGCUGAGGCACGAAAGUGUGGGGAUCAAACAGG
rnacentral:rRNA from 1 species